AUUCCAGCUCCAAUAGCGUAUAUUAAAGUUGUUGCGGUUAAAAAGCUCGUAGUUGGAUUUCUGUUGAAGACCGGCGGUCCACCUUUUGGGUGAGUAUCUGCUUGGGCUUCGGCAUCUUCUCGGAAUACGUUGCUGCGCUUGAUUGCGUGGUUCGGAGUCCGGGACUUUUACUUUGAGGAAAUUAGAGUGUUCACGGCAGGCAUACGCCUUGAAUAUAUUAGCAUGGAAUAAUAAUAUAGGAUCUUGGUUCUAUUUUGUUGGUUUCUAGAGCUAAGAUAAUGAUUAAUAGGGACAAUUGGGGGCAUUCGUAUUAACGCGUCAGAGGUGAAAUUCUUGGAUUGCGUUACGACGAACUACUGCGAAAGCAUUUGCCAAGGAUGUUUUCAUCG
rnacentral:rRNA from 1 species